rnacentral:rRNA from 1 species
GAUGAACGCUGGCGGCGUGCCUAAUACAUGCAAGUCGAGCGAACGGACGAUAAUCUUGCUUCUCUGAUGUUAGCGGCGGACGGGUGUGUAACACGUGUAUAACCCACCUAUAAGACUGGGAUAAUUUCGGGAAACGGGCUCUAAUACCGGAGAAUAUUUUGAACCGCAGGGUGCAUAAGUGAAUUACGGUCUUGCUGUCACUUAUCGAUGGAUCUGCGCUGGUUUGGCUAGUUGGUAAGGUAACGGCUUACCACGGCAACGAUGCAUAGACGACCUGCGAGGGGGGUCGGCCACCUUGGAGCUGAGACGCGGUCCAGGGUACUACGGGAGGCAGCAGUAGCGAAUCUUCCGCAAUAGGCGAAAGCAUGACGGAGCAGCGCCACGUGAGUUAUGAAGAUCUUCGGAUCGUAAAACUCUGUUAUUAGGGAAGAACAUAUGUGUAAGUAGCUGUGGACAUCUUGACGGUACCUAGUCAGAAAGCCCCGGCUAACUACGUG